GGACUACCAGGGUAUCUAAUCCUGUUUGCUCCCCACGCUUUCGUGUCUCAGCGUCAGUACUCGUCCAGUUGGCCGCCUUCGCCACCGGUGUUCCUCUCGAUAUCUACGAAUUUCACCUCUACACCGAGAAUUCCGCCAACCUCUCCGGUACUCGAGCCAUGCAGUAUCGGGUGCACUUCCCGGGUUGAGCCCGGGGCUUUCACAUCCGACUUUCACGGCAGCCUACACACGCUUUACGCCCAGUAAUUCCGAACAACGUUUGCACCCUCUGUCUUACCGCGGCGGCUGGCAC
rnacentral:rRNA from 1 species